AAUGCCACAUGACAAAACCCGUACCAGUCUUCCUUCUAAGUCCUGUCAUUUUUCCCUGGACCGGAGGAGAGCUCUGACCCUCUCACCUGAGAUCAAACGUGAAAGCUGUCAGGUGUGUCCAUGCAUGAAAUGACAUGACAUAUGAAUAGUGGAGUUUACUGGGUUUCAGUGUUUUUACUUAAAUCCAAAAGAUUAAAAAACAUCUUUUAAUGUGUCCCAGGCUGAAAGUCCUCUUAAGAUCCCCAGGAGGGUGUCCACAGCUGAGGAUGAGCUUGUGGAUACAGAGAUGUCAAAAGAUCGGAAUAAGAGCCACUCCAAGAUCCACUGGACACAGCUGGCCUCAAAUGGUACAUCAAGUGAUCAAGAACAUACCAUAUGGAAGGAAAUCAAAAGGCGCCAGGUCAAGGUGGUUUUAGAAGAUGUCCUUCAGACAGAGAUCGGGCAGAGAUUGCUGAGAUGUGGCGGGCAGAUUUGCCUAAAGACAAACCAAUCAGAGAACAAAAGGCAGAGUGAUCACACCUCAACAUCUUCACUCAAAAGACAAGAGGAGAACCAGUCUAACAAAAAGAGGAGAAACGGACUCUACUGGACCAAAAGCCACUUCACCAUCCCAUAAUCAGACUGAGUCAUCCUCUGAAAAUGAAUCAUGUCUACACAAAGAAAUCAAAACUCCGAAAUCCAAACAACAGAACUCAUCACUGAAACUAUUAGAGUCAUCUGAAGUAUCAGGUAACUCCUGUUCACCCAGAGAACGUGACUCACCACAGCUGCCUAAACAGACCAAACCAUCUACUUUUGAAGAGGAGGAAGUAUUACUUCUUGAAGGAUCUCUGCAGCAUGAGGAAGCAUCUUCCUCUGAAUGUGAAUCUUUACACAGACCCUCUUUAUCGUUAGCAAGCCGGGGUAGUCUGAGAGAAGAAACAUCAGGUAGCGAGCAUUUACCUAAUAAGAAAGAAAGGAGAGAAACACAAGAAUGGCCGAAAUAUGCUUCAGAAGAUGCAGAAAAUCACUUGCUCAGGAAUGGAGAGGUGGUGCAGGAAGUGGAUGGUACAAGAGGAAGUGUGUUACGCCUCUCUGUCGGGUUUGAUAGGGAAAUCCAGGCUAAAAAAAUUCGUAUGGACAGCCUUUCAGGUGAACAUGCUCCCAACUCAGACCACACCUCUGGGACCAUAGAGGGGCGGAGCUACAACACAGAGUCCUCUAAGCUCACCCCAUCUGAACUUAUUGUUCUGUCCAGUGAAGAGGAAGAGGAACAGGAAGGAGAGGAAAGUAAAGAGGUGGAAGCCUCUUCCCUAAACAUCCAGCCACUGGAGGGUGCAAAAGACAUGAAUAUAGAAGAUAAAUCGAGUUCAGUUGUGGUAGAGCUACAGCUGUCUUCCCUUCACAUGGGUGGAGUUAGUGCCAAUUGUGAGAGUAUGAAGGUCACUACAGACAAGAUCACCUUUUCAUUAAGAGGUUCUUCAGUGGACAUUUCUAUAUCGACACCUAAUGUGUGUAAAUACAGUGUAUGGGAUGAGCCUGUAUUGGGUGCGUGUGGCCUGGCUAAGGACAGCGAGGUCCCGCCCCCUUCUCUGGUCCUCUUUUGGCUGUCUGAUGACCAGGCAUGCAGAUUACGCAAUGAGCUGUCCGUCAUCCUGCCAGACACAUGUCCAGGUCAGCUACCUGUCUGCUUUCUUGAUUACUGA
rnacentral:lncRNA from 1 species